GAUGUUUUUCUGGAACAUGUUUUACCAUAUCAUCUGAAAAACCCCUCAUGACGCCAUAGCACCCAUUAAAAUAGAGUGUUUGGAAAAAAAACGAAAUCUUUUGGUCCAGUGUAGAGGGCGUAGUCAGAAGAAAACGGCAACCAAUAGAAGUAAUACUCAUCAUCACUUCUAUUGGUUUCUGACACGUCCAUCAACCACCAGCACUCACCCCUCCUCCCUGCGCGUUCACCGACUCGUGAACUUGACCGACCCCGCCCCCAUCAUUCAUGCACACGCGACGAGGCUCAUCAUCACUCGGCUAGCAAGGUAACGAGAGUUAGCAGCAGGCUGAGCUACUUGGAAACUUUGCUGGCUUUUGCAGAGCUACAGGAAGAACUUUGGCUUUUGUUACACUGGACUAACCAUGUCAGGAUAACAUAGUCCCUUGGAUUAUAGUCAUUGGACUCGCAAGACCAGAUUCCAACACGGGCUGACAAUUGGAAAUGGGACCUGACACUCUUGGACACAGAUGUCGGCUACGGCAGCGGCUUCAAACAUAGGCUUUGGUGACCACAUUUCUAAUCGAGAGAAUCUAGUUGUGCGAACGAGCGACAAACCAGCUGGGAGGAUGGAAGCACCUGUUCUCAAUUCCCCUUCUCCACCCGCGUUCAGUAACUAAAUACGGAUUCACCCCGUAAUAAGUCAACCGCAGACAGGGUCCUUCCACAACCACAUACUUAUGCCAGUAAAAGCUACAGCUCUUCUCCGAUCCAAGAAGCCUGGACUGCAGUCACCAUCUCAACACACCAACCAAGAGAAAGGCGGAUGGCUCAAUUCAGUAUGUAGUUCUGCAAAUAUACUCAAAGGUCUUCACAGCCCCCCAUGGUGCUGAAUGCAUUUACAUUUAUUUUUGUAAGGUAAAAACAAUGCUGAUUACAGAUCAUAACUUGGGCCAUGAGUGAAAUUUGAGGUAGCAGCCAUCACCUGAUGGUGAGAGGUGGUCCUAAGAUCACAGAGAGAAGCAGGUUAAAAUCCCAUCCUUACCUCUCCCUACCUACAUCUCCAUCCACAGCUGAAGUGCACUUGAGCAAGGCACACAACUCCACUUUGCUCCUGGGACUGUAGCCAACACCCUGUAAAACCCUGCUGUGUAAUUUGAUGUAAUGAAGCC